GUUGUAUAGUCAAGUAAUGAAGUGCACAUGGUGGAUGCCUUGGCAGUCAGAGGCGAUGAAAGACGUGACAGCCUGCGAAAAGCGUCGGGGAGGCGGCAAUAUCCUGUGAUCCGGCGAUAUCUGAAUGGGGAAACCCACUUGUCAUAAGACAGGUAUCGUAAAUUUAUUUACGAGGCAAACCGGGAGAAGUGAAACAUCUCAGUAACCCGAGGAAAAGACAUCAAUAGAGAUUCCCCUAGUAGCGGCGAGCGAACGGGGAGGAGCCGACUGAUUAUAAUUUAGAGGAAUGACUUGGAAAGGUCAAUCGUAGAGGGUGAUAAUCCCGUACUCGAAAGGUUAUAAGAAGCAUAUUAAGUAGGGCGGAACACGAGAAAUUCUGUCUGAAGAUGGGGGGACCAUCCUCCAAGGCUAAAUACUCCUGACUGACCGAUAGUGAACCAGUACCGUGAGGGAAAGGCGAAAAGAACCCCUGUGAGGGGAGUGAAAUAGAACCUGAAACCGUGUGCAUACAAGCAGUCGGAGCGGACAUGUUCCGUGACGGCGUACCUUUUGUAUAAUGGGUCAGCGACUUAUAUUCUGUAGCAAGGUUAACCGAAUAGGGGAGCCGUAGGGAAACCGAGUCUUAAUAGGGCGUCUAGUUGCAGGGUAUAGACCCGAAACCGAGUGAUCUAUCCAUGAGCAGGUUGAAAGUGACGUAACAGUUACCGGAGGACCGAACCCACUGUCGUUGAAAAGCCAGGGGAUGACUUGUGGAUAGGGGUGAAAGGCUAAUCAAACUCGGUGAUAGCUGGUUCUCCCCGAAAGCUAUUUAGGUAGCGCCUCGGACGAACACCAUUGGGGGUAGAGCACUGUUUCGGCUAGGGGGUCAUCCCGACUUACCAAACCGAUGCAAACUCCGAAUACCGAUGAGUGAUAUCCGGGAGACAGACGGCGGGUGCUAACGUCCGUCGUCAAGAGGGAAACAACCCAGACCGCCAGCUAAGGCCCCAAAUUCCUAGUUAAGUGGGAAACGAUGUGGGAAGGCACAGACAGCUAGGAGGUUGGCUUAGAAGCAGCCAUCCUUUAAAGAAAGCGUAAUAGCUCACUAGUCGAGUCGGCCUGCGCGGAAGAUGUAACGGGGCUCAAACUAGGAGCCGAAGCUGCGGAUUUAAUUGUUUCAAUUAAGUGGUAGGGGAGCAUUGUGUAAGCCUGUGAAGGUGUGUUGUAAAGCAUGCUGGAGGUAUCACAAGAGCGAAUGCUGACGUGAGUAACGACAAAACGGGUGAAAAGCCCGUUCGCCGGAAGACCAAGGGUUCCAGUCCAACGUUAAUCGGGGCUGGGUGAGUCGACCCCUAAGGCGAGGCCGAAAGGCGUAGUCGAUGGGAAAUCGGUUAAUAUUCCGAUACUUGUUUAUGAUGCGAUGGAGGGACGGAGAAGGUUAUGCCAGCUUGGCGAUGGUUGUCCAAGUGGAAGGAUGUAGUUAGGUUUAGUAGGCAAAUCCGCUAGACUAUUAAUGAGAUCUGAUAGCAAGCUGUACUUGUACAGCGAAGUGGCAAAUACCCUGCUUCCAGGAAAAGCUUCUAAGCGAUAGUCAUAAAGAAAUCGUACCCUAAACCGACACAGGUGGUCAGGUAGAGAAUACCAAGGCGCUUGAGAGAACUCUGCUGAAGGAACUAGGCAAAAUGGUACCGUAACUUCGGGAGAAGGUACGCUGCCGAUGGUGAGUAGUCACGCACUACAAAGCUAUUGGCAGUCGCAGAUACCAGGCCGCUGCAACUGUUUAUUAAAAACACAGCACUCUGCAAACACGAAAGUGGACGUAUAGGGUGUGAUGCCUGCCCGGUGCUGGAAGGUUAAUUGAUGGGGUUAGCGUAAGCGAAGCUCUUGAUCGAAGCCCCAGUAAACGGCGGCCGUAACUAUAACGGUCCUAAGGUAGCGAAAUUCCUUGUCGGGUAAGUUCCGACCUGCACGAAUGGCAUAAUGAUGGCGGCGCUGUCUCCAGCAGAGACUCAGUGAAAUCGAAAUCGCAGUGAAGAUGCUGUGUACCCGCGGCUAGACGGAAAGACCCCGUGAACCUUUACUACAGCUUUACAUUGAACUUUGACCUUACCUGUGUAGGAUAGGUGGGAGGCUUUGAAGCAGGCACGCCAGUGUCUGUGGAGCCAUCCUUGAAAUACCACCCUGGUAAUGUUGGGGUUCUAACUCAAGCUUAACAGAGCUGAGGACAAUGUAUGGUGGGUAGUUUGACUGGGGCGGUCUCCUCCUAAAGAGUAACGGAGGAGUACGAAGGUGCGCUCAGAACGGUCGGAAAUCGUUCGAAGAGUAUAAAGGCAAAAGCGCGCUUAACUGCGAGACCCACAAGUCGAGCAGAUACGAAAGUAGGUCUUAGUGAUCCGGUGGUUCUGUAUGGAAGGGCCAUCGCUCAACGGAUAAAAGGUACUCUGGGGAUAACAGGCUGAUACCGCCCAAGAGUUCAUAUCGACGGCGGUGUUUGGCACCUCGAUGUCGGCUCAUCUCAUCCUGGGGCUGAAGCAGGUCCCAAGGGUAUGGCUGUUCGCCAUUUAAAGAGGUACGCGAGCUGGGUUUAGAACGUCGUGAGACAGUUCGGUCCCUAUCUACCGUGGGCGUUGGAAAUUUGAGAGGAUCUGCUCCUAGUACGAGAGGACCAGAGUGGACGAACCUCUGGUGUUUCGGUUGUGACGCCAGUCGCAUUGCCGAGUAGCUAUGUUCGGAUGGGAUAACCGCUGAAAGCAUCUAAGCGGGAAGCCCACCUUAAGAUUAGAUUUCCCUAAAGAGCCGUUGUAGACUACGACGUUGAUAGGUUGGGUGUGGAAGCAUAGUGAUAUGUGUAGCUAACCAAUACUAAUUGCUCGUUUGGCUUGACUAUACAACGCCUAA
rnacentral:rRNA from 1 species